UACGUAGGGUGCGAGCGUUGUCCGGAAUUACUGGGCGUAAAGAGCUCGUAGGUGGUUUGUCGCGUUGUUCGUGAAAACCGGGGGCUUAACCCUCGGCGUGCGGGCGAUACGGGCAGACUUGAGUACUGCAGGGGAGACUGGAAUUCCUGGUGUAGCGGUGGAAUGCGCAGAUAUCAGGAGGAACACCGGUGGCGAAGGCGGCUUCCUGGCCGAGUACUGACGCUGAGGCACGAAAGCGUGGGGAGCGAACGGG
rnacentral:rRNA from 1 species